rnacentral:rRNA from 1 species
UACGUAGGCAGCAAGCGUUGUUCGGAGUUACUGGGCGUAAAGGGUGCGUAGGCGGCUUUUUAAGUUUGGUGUGAAAUCUCCCGGCUCAACUGGGAGGGUGCGCCGAAUACUGAGAGGCUAGAGUGUGGGAGAGGAAAGUGGAAUUCCUGGUGUAGCGGUGAAAUGCGUAGAUAUCUGGAGGAACACCGGUGGCGAAGGCGGCAUCCUGGACCAACACUGACGCUGAGUGAGCGAAAGCCAGGGGAGCAAACGGG